rnacentral:rRNA from 1 species
CCUACGGGAGGCAGCAGUGAGGAAUAUUGGUCAAUGGGCGGGAGCCUGAACCAGCCAAGUCGCGUGAGGGAAGACGGUCCUACGGAUUGUAAACCUCUUUUGCCGGGGAGCAACGGGGUCCUUGCGAGGGCCCGAUGAGAGUACCCGGAGAAAAAGCAUCGGCUAACUCCGUGCCAGCAGCCGCGGUAAUACGGAGGAUGCGAGCGUUAUCCGGAUUUAUUGGGUUUAAAGGGUGCGUAGGCGGGCUGUUAAGUCAGCGGUCAAAUGUCGGGGCUCAACCCCGGCCUGCAGUUGAAACUGGCAGUCUUGAGUACAGUAGAGGUGGGCGGAAUUCGUGGUGUAGCGGUGAAAUGCUUAGAUAUCACGAAGAACUCCGAUUGCGAAGGCAGCUCACUGGACUGCAACUGACACUGAGGCUCGAAAGUGUGGGUAUCAAACAGGAUUAGAUACCCUUGUAGUC